UACGAAGGGGGCUAGCGUUGUCCGGAAUCAUUGGGCGUAAAGCGCGCGUAGGCGGCCCGGUAAGUCCGCUGUAAAAGUCAAAGGCUCAACCUUUGAAUGUCAGUGGAUACUGCCGGGCUAGAGUCCGGAAGAGGCGAGUGGAACUCCUGGUGUAGCGGUGGAAUGCGCAGAUAUCAGGAAGAACACCGACGGCGAAGGCAGCUCGCUGGGACGGUACUGACGCUGAGGCGCGAAAGCGUGGGGAGCGAACAGG
rnacentral:rRNA from 1 species